rnacentral:piRNA from 1 species
UGCAUCGUCGUGUGCGCACAACUGAGCACU